GGAUGGAUGAUGCCUUCUAGAUAUGCUUUCUUGGAAAACUGAAAAAAAUGAGUGACAACUCUAUACCAUCGUCCUCACUGAACUGAGGUCC
ensembl:snoRNA SNORD116 Small nucleolar RNA SNORD116